UGAAUCUCUGAAAUGGUGGGCAAUCAGCAA
rnacentral:piRNA from 1 species